CUGAGUUCUUACAAACUCCAACCCUUUGUGAACCAUACCAACUGUUGCCUCGGCGUGAGCUGCGGCUGCUUGGUAGCUACCCGGUAGUCACCUACCCGGUACCUACCCUGUAGCGUCUGCAUAUAAGCCCGCCGAAGGACCACUAAACUCUGUUUGACAGUGUAUUCUGAAUGCUUCAACUAAAUAGUUA
rnacentral:misc_RNA from 1 species